UGGGGAAUAUUGGACAAUGGGCGCAAGCCUGAUCCAGCCAUGCCGCGUGAGUGAUGAAGGCCCUAGGGUUGUAAAGCUCUUUCACCGGUGAAGAUAAUGACGGUAACCGGUGAAGAAGCUCCGGCUAACUUCGUGCCAGCAGCCGCGGUAAUACGAAGGGGGCUAGCGUUGUUCGGAUUUACUGGGCGUAAAGCGCACGUAGGCGGACUUUUAAGUCAGGGGUGAAAUCCCGGGGCUCAACCACGGGACUGCCUUUGAUACUGGAAGUCUUGAGUAUGGUAGAGGUGAGUGGAAUUCCGAGUGUAGAGGUGAAAUUCGUAGAUAUUCGGAGGAACACCAGUGGCGAAGGCGGCUCACUGGACCAUUACUGACGCUGAGGUGCGAAAGCGUGGGGAGCAAACAGG
rnacentral:rRNA from 1 species